AAAAAUAUGAUCAAUAAAGAAGUUAUUAUUCCUCCUGUUGCAUUCAAUAAGUCUGUGCCAAUGAAAUUGAAAUAAUUUCUAAAAGCUGUGCAACCGUAAUCUUUUCCAAAAAAAAAAAAAAAAGAAGAAAAGAAAAGAAAGAAUGAAGGGUUUAAUCUAUUGCCCCAAUGGUUUCAAUUAAGCACGUUUACAAGAAGUAAGCACAUAGUCAUCCAAAAAUUGGCUAAGUUGAGCGCUGUACAGUUUUGGAUCAUUUCUGAAAUGAUCAACAUGAGGUGUAGACACAAAGUUGCAAGCCAUGACCUCAUGCCCAGCCCUUCGCUGAUCCUCUAUAAACGAUUCCACAGACAUUGCCGGGAUGACUCUAUCUGCAGAGCUAUAAAUAUAUAGCUGUGGACAGCUAGGUUGUCCUGAUGAUAAUAAGCUUAGCACAUCAGAGAGCCUCCUGUUCACAGUAGGAAGAUUCAAAAUCACACUAAAGAACUUCUCCAAAAUUACUAAUAAAGCUGCUUCAGUUGCUGCAGGUUUGGGUUCUACCAAUGUUUUGCUCCCAACUAAUAUCUCCACAUUUGACUCAUUUGAGCUCACAUGUACUUUUGUAGCAACACUGUUCUUUUUUAGAAAAGCUGCAGAGAAACCCGAUGCCCAGACCUGGGGGUCAGGGGCCGCAACAGGUGCAGAAUCCACAAUACAACCCUUAAUCCUUCCCAUUAAAGAAGGAUCCUGAUUCUGAAACUUCUCCAGUACAACUCCAUAAGUUAACCAUCCAGUAUUGCUAAAAGUAUGGAAAACCAGGUUCUUUCCAUGUUCCUCUUCUAGCCAAUCAGCCAGAUGGUUCACAAGCAAGUCUAUAUCUUGUUCAGCUUUCCCACCAACUUGGUAACUAAGAAUCUCUGCCAUUGGAAAUGUAAAAGUAAUGGCAUGAAAUCCCCUUGAAGUAUACCAAUCCGCAUAUUUCUUAAGAUGCUUCUGCUUUGAUCCCAACCAUCCUAACAGAACCACAACUGUCCUAGACUUUCCCAACGAGCAAUCGAAAGACCCAGAAACAUCAAUAGCAUCUGGCUCAGGCAAAUGCCAUCUGUACAAUACAUCAGGAGGGGAAGUAGGGAUUGCAUUCGUAAAUGCUGUUGGUUUCGGUCCUUUUGCCAACUCUGCAGACUGAUAUGAAUUAAGAAGAAGAGAAGAAGCUAAUGUAUUGGGGACAAAUUUCCGAAUUGAAUUAGAGGAUGGGAAGUUGGCGUUAGGUAUAGGUACACGAAUUCUAGUGACAAAGGACAAGUUUGUCAGCUUGGAAACUGAUAUAUGGGAAACCCAUGAAACGUUUGGUUCUUGCACUGAAUUAGAUAAUGAAGAAUGUGACCGGUCUAUGGCAGAAAAAGUAUCUAAUGAUUUAAGAGAUGGGAGUUUAUCGGAAAGGUCAGUAGAAACAGAAGCGACGGCAACGGCAGCAGCUGCCACUAUUGGUCUUUGAAGGAUUCCAGACAAGGAACCCAUAGCGGAGACAGAAGAAGAGAAUCUCUCAUAAGAACAUGAAGGCAAUCCU
rnacentral:misc_RNA from 1 species